rnacentral:rRNA from 1 species
UCUUGCGCAAUGGACGAAAGUCUGACGCAGCCACGCCGCGUGAGUGAAGAAGGCCUUCGGGUUGUAAAGCUCUGUCGCCCGGGACGAAAAUCUUAUAGGUGAAUAGCCUAGAGGACUGACGGUACCGGGAAAGGAAGCACCGGCUAACUCCGUGCCAGCAGCCGCGGUAAUACGGAGGGUGCAAGCGUUGCUCGGAAUUAUUGGGCGUAAAGGGUAGGUAGGUGGUCUCAUUUGUCUGGGGUGAAAGCCUUGAGCUUAACUCAAGAAGUGCCCCAGAAACGGUGAGACUGGAGUCCUGGAGAGGGUCGUGGAAUUCCCGGUGUAGCGGUGAAAUGCGUAGAGAUCGGGAGGAACACCAGAGGCGAAAGCGGCGACCUGGACAGGAACUGACACUCAACUACGAAAGCGUGGGGAGCAAACA